rnacentral:rRNA from 1 species
UACAGAGGUCUCGAGCGUUGUUCGGAAUUACUGGGCGUAAAGGGCGCGUAGGCGGCCUUGUCAGUCAGACGUGAAAUCCCCGGGCUUAACUCGGGAACUGCGUCUGAUACUACAAGGCUGGAGUUCGGGAGAGGGAUGUGGAAUUCCAGGUGUAGCGGUGAAAUGCGUAGAUAUCUGGAGGAACACCGGUGGCGAAGGCGGCAUCCUGGACCGAAACUGACGCUGAGGCGCGAAAGCCAGGGGAGCAAACAGG